AUUGAACGCUGGCGGCAGGCCUAACACAUGCAAGUCGAGCGGAUGACGGGAGCUUGCUCCUUGAUUCAGCGGCGGACGGGUGAGUAAUGCCUAGGAAUCUGCCUGGUAGUGGGGGACAACGUUUCGAAGGGAACGCUAAUACCGCAUACGUCCUACGGGAGAAAGCAGGGGACCUUCGGGCCUUGCGCUAUCAGAUGAGCCUAGGUCGGAUUAGCUAGUUGGUGAGGUAAUGGCUCACCAAGGCGACGAUCCGUAACUGGUCUGAGAGGAUGAUCAGUCACAAUGGAACUGAGACACGGUCCAGACUCCUACGGGAGGCAGCAGUGGGGAAUAUUGGACAAUGGGCGAAAGCCUGAUCCGGCCAUGCCGCGUGUGUGAAGAAGGUCUUCGGAUUGUAAAGCACUUUAAGUUGGGAGGAAGGGCAGUAAGUUAAUACCUUGCUGUUUUGACGUUACCGACAGAAUAAGCACCGGCUAACUCCGUGCCAGCCGCCGCAGUAAGAC
rnacentral:rRNA from 1 species